GCAGCGGUGGAGCAGAAACUAGCUCGCUUUCCUCACAAUGCCUCACGGCUUAGGAAUGGAAGAGACCCGGGUGCGAGUCCCGGCCGUUGCC